UACUUGCGACACUGAUAACUUGUAAAUCCAUUGUUACCUUAAUUUGACAUGGUACUUCUUAUGACGUACAAAGUGAAGGAAGAAUGUAAAUAAACAAUAUAUAAGAAAAGCGUUGAAAUUGCUCUGUACUGGAAUUGUGAUGUGUAUAAAAAGAUGUGACGGCAAUGAAUGGGAUCAGAAAACAAAGAAUUUGUCGUGUAAAUAUGUAGUAAAGAGUAUAUGGGGACAGCGUAUCCUUUUA